rnacentral:rRNA from 1 species
AUUGAACGCUGGCGGCAUGCCUUACACAUGCAAGUCGAACGGCAGCACGGGUGCUUGCACCUGGUGGCGAGUGGCGAACGGGUGAGUAAUACAUCGGAACGUACCUUAUCGCGGGGGAUAACGCAGCGAAAGCUGAGCUAAUACCGCAUACGCCCUGAGGGGGAAAGCGGGGGAUCGAAAGACCUCGCGCGAUUAGAGCGGCCGAUGCCUGAUUAGCUUGUUGGUGGGGUAAAAGCCCACCAAGGCGACGAUCAGUAGCUGGUCUGAGAGGACGAUCCGCCACACUGGGCAUGACACGCGGCCAAGACUUCUACGGGAGGCAGCGGUGGGGAGUUGUGGACAUUGGCGGCAACCCUGAUCCAGCAAUGGCGCGUGAGUGGAGAAGGCCGUCGGGUUGUAAAGCUCUUUUGUCAGGGAAGCAUCACCGGCUCUAACACAGUCCGGGAAUGACGGUACCUGCAGAAUAAGCACCGGCUAACUACGUGCCAGCAGCCGCGGUAA